rnacentral:rRNA from 1 species
GAUGAACGCUGGCGGCGUGCCUAAUACAUGCAAGUCGAGCGAACGGACGAGAAGCUUGCUUCUCUGAUGUUAGCGGCGGACGGGUGAGUAACACGUGGAUAACCUACCUAUAAGACUGGGAUAACUUCGGGAAACCGUAGCUAAUACCGGAUAAUAUUUUGAACCGCAUGGUUCAAAAGUGAAAGACGGUCUUGCUGUCACUUAUAGAUGUAUCCGCGCUGCAUUAGCUAGUUGGUAAGGUAACGGCUUACCAAGGCAACGAUGCAUAGCCGACCUGAGAGGGUGAUAGGCCACACUGGAACUGAGACACGGUCCAGACUCCUACGGGAGGCAGCAGUAGGGAAUCUUCCGCAAUGGGCGAAAGCCUGACGGAGCAACGCCGCGUGAGUGAUGAAGGUCUUCGGAUCGUAAAACUCUGUUAUUAGGGAAGAACAUAUGUGUAAGUAACUGUGCACAUCUUGACGGUACCUAAUCAGAAAGCAACGGCUAACUACGUG